rnacentral:rRNA from 1 species
AACGAACGCUGGCGGCAGGCCUAACACAUGCAAGUCGAACGCCGUAGCAAUACGGAGUGGCAGACGGGUGAGUAACACGUGGGAACGUACCCUCGGUUCGGGAGUAACUCAGGGAAACGUUAGAGCUAAUAACCGGAUAUGACCUCGGCCGACAUCGGCUGUGGUGGAAAGAUUUAUCGGCCAGGGAGUGGGCUCGCGGCCUAUCAGCUAGUUGGUGGGAACGG